rnacentral:rRNA from 1 species
UACAGAGACUGCAAGCGUUAUUCGGAUUCACUGGGCGUAAAGGGUGCGCAGGCGGCCAAGUGUGUGAGGCGUGAAAGCCCGAUGCUCAACAUCGGAAUUGCACCUCAAACUACAUGGCUAGAGCAUUGGAGAGGGUAGCGGAAUUCACGGUGUAGCAGUGAAAUGCGUAGAUAUCGUGAGGAACACCAGAGGCGAAGGCGGCUACCUGGACAAUUGCUGACGCUCAGGCACGAAAGCGUGGGGAGCGAACAGG